UACAGGGGGUGCAAACGUUGCUCGGAAUCAUUGGGCGUAAAGCGCACGUAGGCGGUUCGUUAUGUCGGAUGUGAAAGCCCUUGGCUUAACCGAGGAAGUGCAUCCGAAACUGGCGAGCUAGAGUACGAAAGAGGAUCGCGGAAUUCCCGGUGUAGAGGUGAAAUUCGUAGAUAUCGGGAGGAACACCGGUGGCGAAGGCGGCGAAGUCUGGGUCGAUACUGACGCUGAGGUGCGAAAGCGUGGG
rnacentral:rRNA from 1 species